ACCGGAAAGCAGGCUCUGUGGGAAUCAAAAGGCUAUUCCCACUCUGCUCAACCUCUCUGCUCCUUCACUACCGCGACCAGAGAGGAGGCUGGAGGAAGAGCUGCACAGAAGGCAAAAAUCUGUGGAUACAAAAGGGCCAAAAGGAUGCCAAGAGGCGGGCCAAUCAGAGCAUGAUGGACCACGCUGAGGAGGAAAAGGGAUGCAGACAUGUCUGCCCUCUGUGGCAGGAGGAUCAGAAGAGGAGCUGGGAUCUGCUCUCCUCUCUAAUGAUGUCAGCUCCCCAGAGGAGGCGUCUGUCUGCUGAAUCUCAACAGCUAGCCUUCAAAGACUCAGCCCGGACCAGGAGCUGGAGGGAGGCCUGGAGGAUGGUGGAGGAGGAUCUGUCAACUAGACAACCGCAACAACCAGCAGGACCAGAGCUCCUGAAGAAGGCAACAAAGGUCUGAUCCGCUGCCCUGUUGCUAUUAAUGGAGGUCUUUAAGAGUCAAAACACAAAAGUAGGGAGGUAGCAGGAGGAGGAUUUGCCAUGCACGUAAAAGAAGGAAUGCUGACGAUCUGUGCAUCAGUUUAAUAACUUGCAACAUUAAACUUGCAGCUCCAACCUCAAGUUUUGCCUGAGAGGAACUUAAUAUUCAGGCUGACCUCACAUAUUCAUUGUAUUGACAACCGAAACUCUGAAACACAAAAUUAGUGAAUGAUAUCUUCCUUGUAACAACUUUGAUUUGGCUUCAAUGCAAUCUGACCAUAUCCAACAGUAUGACUUAACCAUAUUUUGACUGGAUUGUACACUUGCUAUUCACCAUUUGCAUUUUGCCUUUACAUGUACAGAACUUUUUUUCACUUAAUGCUUUUCGUUGGUCCCUCAGCUUUCUUUUGAUUUCAUGAUUUGACUCUGCUCUUUGAGGGAGGAAACACCUGUGUUUCUGUCCGCUUCUACACAGCUGUUUGGUGAAGUAACUUUGUUUUGAUUUGGGAUUUCUGUGCAAAUAAAUAAGCCAUAGUAAA